GGUUCCUUUGAACAUCGUGGAGAAGGUCGUGACCGUUGGACUGCAGCUGUCUUCCUCUUCAUCACUCUAGCAGCCAUCUCUGUUCUGCUGCUGGUUUCUCUGGUCGUCAUCACGCUGAGACGUCACCGUCUGACCUGCCGUCCGUCUUCCAUCAGUGAUAAGGAGGAGCUGCUUCAAGAUCCAGAUGAGUCCUCUCUGGAGUCUCUGGCCGUCCCAGAGAGCCCCAAACUGGACGAGGCCUGAGAAGAGGGUCCGGGGCCCACAGAGGUUCCUGGGCCCACAGAGGUUCCUGGGCCCACAGAGGUUCCUGGGCCCACAGAGGGUUCUGGUUUGAUCUUAAACCUGCUAUAAUCUGGAUUAUUUUAAUCAUACCUUCAGAUUCUAAACACAACUGUUGGUUUCUCGUUUUUAAGCUUUGCUUCUGUAGUGUGAACGUUGAUUCAAUGAUAAGUUAGGAAACACAAAAUUAAAUGAUGAUUUAAAUGACAUUAAACUUUAAACAUUUGAAGUCAUUUCUUAAGUAAAUCCUCUAAUUAUUUUUAGUGUUUCUAUAAAGUCUAUUCUUUUAAUAAUCGUAAAUGAUUUGUGUUUGUUGUACUUUGACAAAAUCAGCAAUAUGAAGGCGUCACUUUGAUUCUGGUGACUUUUAUGUUGUAGGGGUUAAACAAUUAAAUAUGUAGUCAAAAGUGUGUUUUUUAUUAGGUUUAAUGUUAACACCAUCAGUGUAAAUUAAAAAGUAAUCAGAGGACGCAGCAAUGACAUUCACUGGAGCCUGCUUUUCCCAUGAUGCAACACGAUGGCGUCUUUCAUUAGAGCCUCGUCAGCUGCUCACUUAUUUAUUACCUGAUGGGUUUAGUUACUGGUUAAACAGCUGUUUUUAUUAUUAGGAGUUUAUGUAUCAGGAGUCCUGUUUCAUGCAAAUAUUAGUUUCAUAUCAAAAGUAAAUGCACACAUCUAUUAAAAUGAAUUUAAAGAAAUCUUUCAUGAUAAUUAGGAUAAUUAAUUAUCCUUAUUAGUUAAUAGUCAGUAGUAAAUCAUUUUAUUAAUUUUUCUUUGGAGAAAUACAUUGUUUUGAUAUAAACUGACUAAUUUUAUCUGUAAAUCAGCAGCAUCAUGUUGUGUUUUAUAAUGAUAGUUACAGCAUAAACAUUCAGAUUAUUCAAUAAGAUGUAAUGAUGUUUGAUGUGUUUGAACUGAAGAUCUGAGGUCACUCUGUACUCAACCGUCUCAAUAAAACUUUAACACCUCGUU